GCGUACAGAAAUUGAAUCCGCAUGCAGGCGCCGGGGCGGGGAAUCUUGCGCGCCCGGAAUGCGGGUGACGUUACCUCGAUCCUUCGGCAUGGAACCCGGGCAUCAGCAUCACCUGGAUAACCAACUCUCCCUCUCUCUGCGGAAUCCCAUCCGAUGCGCUUCUCAACGGCCGAAUCGGAUCCAAUUCCAACAGACUCGCGCGGUUGUUGGGGAUUCGGUAUCCACGGCAUAUAAAGGUGAACCGUGGACUCCUUCUCGGCCAUAGCUCUCUGGUAUGAUCUCCUCCAACCCUCUGUGUGCGCGGGCGUGUUUGGCGUGCAGUGACUGGAGAGCCAGCGCGGACGCCCCGCCGUGCACCGUCCCGUUCGCGAAGCCAGCCUUAUCGGCCCUUCAGCUCUUGUAAGGCAACACACGAAUCGCCCUGUCCCCUGCUGCGCGUAGCAUCGAUCAUCCGAGUGUUGGGAGUUCUGGUUUGCCGGGGCGUCGAGCAGUGGCGAAGCUAGAGUAAACUAGGGGAGGGUAUAGAUGGCCAACCGGGCCGCACGGCACGGCACUGGCACUAGCACGGCCAGACACGGUACGACAGGGCACGGCACGGCUAGGCACGGUAGAAGAUCCGUGCCGUGCCUGUUAGUGCCAGCGUGCUGGGCCCUCGGCCCAGGCACGGCACUACCAGUACUUAACCGUGCCGUGCCGUGCCAACAGGCACGCCAGCACGCCAGUGCUAGUGCCAGCACGGGCACUACGUGUAGAAAUAUCAGCAGCAGCAUUCAAACAGCAUAAGUGAAUAACAGAUUUCAUAGUUAAUAACAGAUUCAAACAGCAUUCACAAAGAGAGUAAGAGACUAAUCAAACAACAAUUUUAUGAGCUGUAGUGCAAUGGCUGCCUCGUUAAAAACCUGUCUAGGUAAAACUCACCCUUGUGAGAAACCCUAGACAGGAAAAAAGAGUACAGCCCAGCUCAUUAAAAUGUUUUUCAAAUGUUUACAGUCCAGUCCAGUGUCCAGGUGCAUAAUAUUACAGUCCCAUUACAGAAAUGGUCACAAAGAGAGUAAGACUAAUCAAGAUAAAGAUUUUCAAAUGUUUCUUCAAGCUCUUUGUCAUCCACCAUGUGUUGCAUCCUUGCUUCAGCAUCCUCCCAAUCUUUAAUGCAUGUCAACAUCUCAACCACAUCAGACUUCAAUCUCCUCCUCCGCUCGUCGAUGAUCCUGCCAGUUAAACUAAAAGUGGAUUCUGAAGAGAUGGUAGACACAGGAACAGUUAAAAUAUCUUUAGCCAUAAUUGACAGUACUGGAUAAGUGAAUUUGUGCUGAUGCCACCAGUGCAAGAUGUUGAAAUCAUCAGUUAACUGGUUGACAGUGUCACAAUCUAAGUAAGAAAUGAGUUCAGAAGCAGUAGAAGCUGAAGAGCUUGCAGCAUGCAAUAGAGCAGUUGCAGAGGUAUCUCUAGCAAUGUUUAGAGUAGAAGCAAAAGAAUGCAUACCAACAGAAGUACCCACAUCAUCAGCAUCAUCAUAAAUUUCAUCCCAAGCAGACCGUUUCUUACCAGACAAGUUAGGAGGGACAACCCUAUUCAAUCUAACAGAUCCAUAUUUCUCUUCAUAUUUAUUAUAAACAUCAGUAAGCUUAGCUCUAGUGGUAACCUGAUAAACAGCAUAAUCUGUACUUGUCAGGUUCAUUAAUCUUCUAAGCACUCUACUAAAACCUUUCAUUUUAGCUCUAGGGUCCAAGAUGAAUGCAAAAGAGUAAAGUAAAGGGAUGUUCCUCCAAUAUUUAUUAUAUUUAUCUACCAUAGGUUGAAUGACACCUCUGAUGUGAGUGUCAUUAGCAUAGUUCUUUAGAUGUAUAGCAAUCUUAACAAGAAAAUGAAGCAUAAGUGGAGAUGUAGGAUAAUAAACACCAGACAAUGCAACUGUAGAAUCAUAAAAUAGCUCAAGAAAUUUAAGUACUUUGUCUCCAAUAACCCAAUGUUCAUCAGUUAAAAUAAAUUGAUCACCUUCAGCCCUAGGAUAGUUUGCAUGAAUGAAAGUAGUGAAAGGUAUCCUAUGAGGAAACAAAUGCUUAAGCAUCAGAUAUGUAGAGUUCCAUCUAACCUCCAUGUCUAACUGGAAUUUUCUAGGCCUAAUAUUAGUAGCAAUGCAAUAACUUUUAUAUGCAGCAAUUCUCUGAUUAGAUGAGUUUAAAAAUGAUAUUGCAGUUCUAAAUGUUUCAAUCAAGUUCUUAAGAGAAUCUAGGGCCUCUUUAACUAUCAAAUUGAUUAUAUGACAUGCACAACGCUGAUGCAAGAACAUUUCAGAAUCUGCCCCAUUAUCAAUACCAAGAUAUGGUGACAUUAUAGGUCUAAGCAACCUCAUGGCAGCAGCAUUAGAUGAUGCAUUGUCUAGGGUAAAAGCAAACACCUUAUUAGUCAAGCCAUAAUCAGCAAGCACACCAGCAACACGAUCAGCAAUGUUUUGUCCAUUGUGUGACACAUCAAUAAGCACUAAAGCAAGCACCCUUUUCUCUAGUUGCCAAUCAGGGUUUAUGUAAUGGGCAACAACACUAAGGUAGUCCUCUUUGGCAUUACCAGACCAAAUGUCAGAGGUCAAACACACACAAUUAACAUUAGAAGAAGAAAGAGUCUCAACAAGCUUAGCCUUUUUAUCAGUGAAGUAUUUAACCAUGUCUCUGGUGGUGGUUUGCCUAGAGACAGGCACAAAUUUAGGAUUAUGAGCAGUUCUAAUGUAGUGUUCAAAUGCAUCAUUUUCACCCAAACUAAUAGGAAUUUCUAGCCUAGCAAGCAAUCGAACCAAUUCAUUACGUGCAACCAUAGGACAGUACUCCCAGUUACGCAUACUACCAUCAGGAUUAAAAGAUAUCUGAGACUGAGACAUGCGGGUUUUCUCACGCCUCCUGGGACAUCUGUCUCUAUGUCGGGUCAGGUGGCCAGUGCCACCACUAGAGAGAGCAGAAUAUUGCUUAGAGCAAUGUAUACACUUAGCUGCAAACCUAACCUUCUUACCGUUCACGAAUUUGAAAAGUUUCUCGAAAUCUAACCACACUGCAGAAGUAGAAGGACGACAUCGCUUGGCACUGUGUUCGUCCCCUUCACCUUCGUUAUCUUGACCACCGACUUGUUGUUCAUCACCGACAUGGACAGGAUGCUCGCUGCUAUGGCCAAAGAGCGCUGCAGCAUCCUCCCGGAGGUCAUCCUCAUCGUCAUCUCCGGCCAACCCGCACAACCGUCGCUCAUCGUUGCAGUCGAUCUCAACAGUUUCAUCGUCGGAGACGGCCAUCGACCCACCUCGGACUCGGAGUCCCGGUUCCUCAACGGAGUAAGCCGGAGCACCAGAGCUAGGAGAGAGGAGGGGACGACCGGUCCGUCCAACCGGUUCCUCCACAGAUUUGAAUCCGGAGCACCAGAGCUAGGAGAGAGGAGAGGGAGACCAGAGCUAGGUGUCAGGGAGACUGGAGCUAGGAGACCGGAGCUAGGAGAGAGGAGAGGGAGACAGCCAGACCGGAGCUAGGAGAGAGGAGAGGGAGACAGCCAGACAGGAGCUAGGAGAGAGGAGAGGCCGAGUUCCUCAACGGAGUAAGCCAGAUCACACCGGAGUAAGCCAGAUCACACCGGAGGCCGGAGGGGGAGAGGGAGACCGGAUCUGUGUGCCAGUGCCGUGCCGGUCUGCCGGACAGUACCGGAGGGGGAGAAGAAGAUAGGAGAGGGAGACCAGAGCUAGGAGAGAGGAGAGGGAGACCGGAGCUAGGAGAGAGGAGAGUACCAUUGCCAGUGCCAGUGCCAGUGCCGCCGUACCGGACCCCGGAGUCCCGGUUCCUCAACGGAGUAAGCCGGAGCACCGGGAUCUCCGCAGAAGCGCAGAUCACACCGGAGGCCGGAGGGGGAGAAGAAGAUAGGAGAGGGAGACUGGAGCUAGAAGAGAGGAGAGUACCAAUGCCAGUGCCAGUGCCGUCGUACCGGACCCCGGAGUCCCCAGUCCCGGUUCCUCAACGGAGUAAGCCGGAGCAUCGGGAUCUCCGCAGAAGCGCAGAUCACACCGGAGGCCGGAGGGGGAGAAGAAGACAGGAGAGAGUAGAGAGGAGAGGGAGAACGGAGCACCGGGAUCUCCGCACAAGCGCAGAUCGCGCCGGUUCUAAAAUGCGCGUGUAAACUGUAAACCCUAAUAAGCCGGAGCACCAGGAUCUCCGCAGAUCACACCAGAGGAGGAGAAGAAGACAGCAGAUCCGAGCGGGGGUUAUGGAUCUGAGUUACCCGGUUCACAAAUGCGCAGAUCCGAGCGGGGGAGAGCCGGAGAGGAUCUCCGACGGCGACGAGCGACGAUCGAUCCGAGCGGAGGCGCCGAGGCGGAGAGCCGGAGAGCGCAGACCGGAGGCGGAGAUGGAGACCGGAGCGCUUAGCGGAGGCGGAGGGAACGAGGGAGAGGAGAGCUCGCCGGUCGCCGCCGAAUCGCCCGCGACUGAGAGAGAGCGAGUGAGUCAGUGAGCGAGAGCGAGUUAGGGUUUGAGCGAGAGCGAGAGUGAGUGAGGAGUGACGCCCGCGGCCGCGGCUGGGGCGGGUUAGGCCUUAGGGUUUACACGCGACUCGCUCGGGUGGGCCGUGCCGACGCCGUGCCGGCCCAGUUAGUCGUGCCGUGCCUGGGCCGACCCUACGGGCCCAAGUGGUGGCCCAGGCACGGCACUAUGUACGGGCCGUGCCCGGCACUGGCACUAAGAGGACCGUGCCGUGCCGUGCCAGUGCCGUGCUUUUUAGUGUCGUGCCCGGGCCGGCCCGUCGUGUUAGUGCCAUUUGGCCAACUAUAGGGGAGGGUGCAUAUGCCUUGAGGGUGCAUGGUAACAAUUUGUAGGUGGUGCAUAUAUGGUGAAAAUUUGGUCCAAAUCACUAGAUUUCUAAAUUUUCGUGGGUGUAUGUGCACCCCCUAAUUUUCUAUGUAGCUCCGCCCCUGGCGUCGAGGCCCAGUGUCGUGGCCAUGGCGCCGUCGUGGUUGGGGCUGGACACCGUUGUUCAGCUCAGAUUGAGGUAGGAAGACAACCGGUGACCGUUGAUGCAUAAUGGGAGGCCUAGAUCAAUUGGAUUGUACCGCUUCGGUUGGAGCAAUCCAAGCCGUUGGAUUGGCUAAGGAGGGGUGGGAUUAGAUCCGGGUUCUGACCCUUGGAUUCAGAUCGGGCGGUCCAUGUUGCGUAACGGUUCACUUAAAGACGGAUCUAAUCAGGGCCCUUGACCGCUGAUCCAACGGUCCACAUGUCAUCAUACCCCUUCGGCCAUGGCAUAGUUCAUAAAGAGCCCCUCGGCUUAUCAAAAAUAAACCCGUCGUCCACCCUUAUGCUGUUAAUAUUACGGAUUGGUCCUAAACUUUAUGAGUUAGACCCUAUGCUUCUAUAGAAUUGUGUGCGCAGUCCAGAACCCAUAGGAAAUUCUGAAUUAAAUAAGGAAAAUGGGAUUUUAGUAUAAAAAUAAAUCUUGAAACUUAUUUAAUUCAUAUUUAGCUCAUUUUAACUCUGAUUCGAUCCGUUCAAGUUUUGUUAGCUUCGUAAUAACAUUAUCUAUGCAAUGACAACAUUAGUUUUAUUAUAACACAUAAUCUUAUAAUUGGAUAUUGUUUAAUUUGUGUUUAGUGGAUUAAGUUUGCUAGUUAAAGAUAACCUAUCUACAAUUAUAAUCUGACUAAAAUAUGAUUUUUAAUCAAAUCAUAAUCCAUAUCGAAGUUGAGUUAAUUAAUUAUAGUAUGUUUUCUCAUAUGAUUUAUAAUCACCAAUUUAUAAUAUAAGUUUAAUAUUUAAUCACGUAAAUCUUCAGAAAAUCGUAUCUUAUUAACCGUAACUCCUAUUUUAGUGGUUCUCGAACCCACGAUCUCGUAGCUUCGCGUAGAUUAUUAAUACGCAGUUUGUUCUUAUGUUUGGUGUGAUGUUAAUUUUGUCUAUACCUUGUUUGUUUGUAUUGCUAUGACUAGCGCGAGGCUACGAGUCAUCUAAAGAUCAUCCUGGUACCUGAAAUCUCAAGUCUCAGGCAAGUUGUGCCCUUGAUCACUACUUUUUACCUAGUCAUGUUCUAAUUAAUCAUAAUGAUCUGCAUAGGUUAAUUUUGAUGGAACCCAAUAGGUUACCCCAGUUUGACUAUCUUUAUACCUUGAUUACCACUAAACUUUUUGGGUAGUACUUGCUAUUCCUUUAUGUGGUUUUGGGUAUGGAGAUACAUUAUUCAUGAUUAUACCUUUAUUAUCAGUUGUUAUUUACUGUUCAUGUUAAGAUCAUUAUAUUAAUUGGAACAUGGAGAACCACCCGGGAAAACAGCGCUACCACAAGGGUUUAAUGGGAUGCCCUUGGCUAACUAACUAGGAAAGCUAGUGGAAGACUACCUUACCCGAAAGGGGCAAGGGCAAUAGGGGAGUGGUCAGUGUAGGGAGGUCCUCGGGUUGAUUUUGCUGCGAUGGCGGUCAGGCGAGGGAUUCCUGCAUUGAAGCUUCCUAUAAACUGUAGCGGGUUUUCUAAAGCUAGUGGAACUUUGUAAAGGUCUCGUAGUGUUACCCUAUCUCGCCUCCUCGGUAGAGGUGUAUGGGAUUGGUCGUCUCUUGACAGAUGGGUAAUAUGACUUGUGGGUAAAGAUGCGCAACCUCUGCAGAGUGUAAAACUGGUAUACUAGCCGUGCUCACGGUCAUGAGCAGCUCGGACACUCACAUGAUUAAUUUAUGGAACUAAAUUCAAUUUAUCAUAUGCAUUGCAGGUGUUGUUAUUACUUUUGUUCUACUACUUAAUUGGGUUGGUAUUUACUUAUACUUAAUAAUUGCUAAUAAAAUUUUGACCAACUUUAAAAGCAAUGCUCAGCUUCAACCAUCCUCUUUGGUAAGCCUUACACUUCACGUGAGCUCCCACCUUUGGCGAGUUCAUGCACAUUAUUCCCCAUAACUUGUUGAGCGAUGAACGUAUGUGAGCUCACUCUUGCUGUCUCACACCCCCACAGGUCAAGAAUAGGUACCGCAGGAUGAGGCGCUUGUAGGAUGCUGUGACGAGUUCGUGAGAGGUCUAGACCGUCGUCUCCCAGUCAACUUUGGGUUGCUGGACUGUUGUCUCCUUAUGAUAUAAUUAUUUAUUUAUUUUUUACAGAAUUCCUGUUAUGUAGUAAAGAUGUGACAUUCGAUCCUGUGCCAUGAUUCAUCAUAUGUGUGAGACUUGGUCCCAGCAUACCUGGUGAUUAUGUUCACGUCCGGGUCUUGGUGCCCCGAAACCCGGGUGUGACAGCGGCGCCCCCUGACAUGCGAGUAGCGACAGUGCCACUCGAGGAGCGAGGAUCGAGCGCCCACUGAAGGAGCGAGGAUCGAGCACCCACUAAAGGCGCGAGGUGCGCACAGCGAUGAUCGCGCGUGACAUCCUCCGAUCCGGCGCAGUUUGGGUGGCCCAAGUGAUGACCUCCAUCUAUUCUCGUGUCGUCGACGAUGUCCUCCAGCGACUACCUCCUCCGAUUCGUGUUGUCUUUCAAUUAUUGUGAUUUAUGCCUACCGCAUGCACUAUUUACACUAAAAACUAUACGAUUUUAUGCUUGAACACGGAGUUCGUAUAUUAGUUUAUUG
rnacentral:lncRNA from 1 species